UUUUAAUAUGGCAGAUUAGUGCAAUAGACCUAAAAUCUAUAUAUAAGAAAAUUAUCUUUAUUAAAAA
rnacentral:tRNA from 1 species